AGUGAACGCUGGCGGUAGGCCUAACACAUGCAAGUCGAACGGCAGCACAGGAGAGCUUGCUCUCUGGGUGGCGAGUGGCGGACGGGUGAGGAAUACAUCGGAAUCUACUCUGUCGUGGGGGAUAACGUAGGGAAACUUACGCUAAUACCGCAUACGACCUACGGGUGAAAGCAGGGGACCUUCGGGCCUUGCGCGAUUGAAUGAGCCGAUGUCGGAUUAGCUAGUUGGCGGGGUAAAGGCCCACCAAGGCGACGAUCCGGAGCUGGUCUGAGAGGAUGAUCAGCCACACUGGAACUGAGACACGGUCCAGACUCCUACGGGAGGCAGCAGUGGGGAAUAUUGGACAAUGGCGCAAGCCUGAUCCAGCCAUACCGCGUGGGUGAAGAAGGCCUUCGGGUUGUAAAGCCCUUUUGUUGGGAAAGAAAUCCAGCUGGCUAAUACCCGGUUGGGAUGACGGUACCCAAAGAAUAAGCACCGGCUAACUUCGUGCCAGCCGCCGCGGUAA
rnacentral:rRNA from 1 species